GGGUGCGAUCAUACCAGCACUAACGCACCGGAUCCCAUCAAAACUCCGCAGUCAAGCGUGCUUGGGUGAGAGUAGUACUCGAAUGGGUGACCACCUGGAAAGUUCUCGUGUUGCACCCC